CGACGCUGGCGGCAUGCCUAAUACAUGCAAGUCGAGCGGAGUUGAUAAGAAGCUUGCUUCUUUGAUACUUAGCGGCGGACGGGUGAGUAACACGUAGGCAACCUGCCCUCAAGUUUGGGACAACUACCGGAAACGGUAGCUAAUACCGAAUAGUUGUUUCUUCGCAUGAAGGAAACUGGAAAGACGGAGCAAUCUGUCACUUGGGGAUGGGCCUGCGGCGCAUUAGCUAGUUGGUGGGGUAACGGCUCACCAAGGCGACGAUGCGUAGCCGACCUGAGAGGGUGAUCGGCCACACUGGGACUGAGACACGGCCCAGACUCCUACGGGAGGCAGCAGUAGGGAAUCUUCCGCAAUGGGCGAAAGCCUGACGGAGCAAUGCCGCGUGAGUGAUGAAGGUUUUCGGAUCGUAAAGCUCUGUUGCCAGGGAAGAACGCUUGAGAGAGUAACUGCUCUCAAGGUGACGGUACCUGAGAAGAAAGCCCCGGCUAACUACGUG
rnacentral:rRNA from 1 species